UACGGAGGGUGCAAGCGUUGCUCGGAAUCAUUGGGCGUAAAGCGCACGUAGGCGGACCGCUAAGUCGGAUGUGAAAGCCCUCGGCUUAACCGAGGAAGUGCAUUCGAAACUGACGGUCUUGAGUAUGGAAGAGGGUCGCGGAAUUCCCGGUGUAGAGGUGAAAUUCGUAGAUAUCGGGAGGAACACCAGUGGCGAAGGCGGCGACCUGGGCCAAUACUGACGCUGAGGUGCGAAAGCGUGGGGAGCAAACAGG
rnacentral:rRNA from 1 species